rnacentral:rRNA from 1 species
GCAGCUUGCUGCUUUGCUGACGAGUGGCGGACGGGUGAGUAAUGUCUGGGAAACUGCCUGAUGGAGGGGGAUAACUACUGGAAACGGUAGCUAAUACCGCAUAACGUCGCAAGACCAAAGAGGGGGACCUUAGGGCCUCUUGCCAUCGGAUGUGCCCAGAUGGGAUUAGCUAGUAGGUGGGGUAACGGCUCACCUAGGCGACGAUCCCUAGCUGGUCUGAGAGGAUGACCAGCCACACUGGAACUGAGACACGGUCCAGACUCCUACGGGAGGCAGCAGU